GUACACGCUGUGACUAGCAUAUCAAUAAGCGGAGGAAAAGAAACUAACAAGGAUUCCCUUAGUAACGGCGAGUGAAGCGGGAAGAGCUCAAAUUUGAAAUCUUCAAGGUUUUACCUUGACGAAUUGUAGUUUAAAGAAGUGUUUUCUGCUGAAGUUUUGGUAAAAGUUCUUUGGAAUAGGACAUCAUAGAGGGUGAGAAUCCCGUAUUUGACCAUUAUUUUCAGCUUUGUGAUACACUUUCAAAGAGUCGGAUUGUUUGGGAAUGCAGUCCAAAAUGGGUGGUAAAUUUCAUCUAAAGCUAAAUAUUGGCGAGAGACCGAUAGCGAACAAGUACCGUGAGGGAAAGAUGAAAAGAACUUUGAAAAGAGAGUUAAAUAGUACGUGAAAUUGUCAAAAGGGAAGGCGUUUAACACCAGUGUUGUUUUCUGAAAAUCAACCUCUGUUAGCUUUAUGCAUGUUUGUUUAGACCUAAUCAGCUAUCUUGCAUGUUCUAUUGUUUGCAGUGGUGCACUUUUCAGUUUACAGGUCAACAUCAGUUUUUUUUUACCGUAAAAAAGUUAAAGGAAAGGUAGCUCAUGGCUCCGGUCGUGAGUGUUAUAGUCUUUUUCCUAUGCGGUAGGAGAGACUGAGGUCUGCAGUGUAGGCUAUUUGGCUAGAUACUCAGGUGCUAUGUGAUACCAUUUCAUAAACAACUUGUUGAUUAUGUUUUGUCUAUUGCAUACUCGCUUGUACUAUCAUACCUACGCUUAGGAUGUUGAGUAGCGACAUACGCAC
rnacentral:rRNA from 1 species